UCCCUCUUAGCUCAGUGGUAGAGCGCGUCACUAGUAUUUGAAAGCGAGUACUGGAAUAGUUGUACCAUGACGAGGUCAGUCGUUCAAGUCGGCUAGAGGGAA